GGAGUGACGUCAUAAACCGGAUAAGUUUCCAUCAUCGCCUUGACAGCCUUUUUCGAUAAUUGCUCGCAGUAAUCUGAGUAGUUGCUUGAAUUUGUACAAUCUCUGUUCCUGCUGGGUACAAUGAAGCCUUUUGUUUAUUAGGGGCUGGAUCGGCCUAUUGACAUUUGGAGAUUGGAUUUCAUAUUAAUAUGCGUAAGCAAAAGCGGGAAUGUUUAGUUUCCCGCGGUCGAGUGCAGUUAUGGAUCCCUUGAAACUUCGAAGGGUUGAAUUGCUUCAUUCUCCUCCAGAUGAGUCAAGGGAAUGGUUUAUCUUAAAUUUCAAGAAAUGUGGCAUAAGAGUCAGCAAGUUUUUUGAAGUAGCCUGUUGGUGGCACAUUUUCCAAGCGUUUUGUACGGUCCAGCUUUAAAAAAUGGCGGAAGCUUGGAUGACCGAUAUGUUCAGAACAACAAAGUGGCCAUCGCCUCUCUAUUUGGAGUUGUUUCUACCAUCUUCCGGCAGAAAUUCGAAGAAGGAGAAGUGGUGAGAUAUCUUUGGUUGAUCGAUAAAAUAAAUUCUUGAUCCUGGAUCAAGAAAAGCUUGGCAAACGUUACUUAGCAUUUUCAAGCUAAGACGAACCGGGUUACUCUUGAUUACAAAACACUGAUAAUGCUGCUCAAGCAAAGAGCUGGUGAUGCCAAAAAAUAUAUCAAUGAACUUUGCAAGCAAGGAUUGGACACAGAGUGCUGUGUAUUCUGCAAAGUUAUUAAGGAAUGUGCCUCUCCUGAUGUUCCUUUUGGGGAAGCCUUUGCUGAGUGUUUCCUAAAGAGCAAAGCAAAUAUUGGGGGGUAGGUACAACUCUGCAUUUCUGCAUUGACAUGCAUAAAAAGUUCCAGCUUGCAGUAUGGUAUUUCACUUUCUAUUGGAAUACAUGUCUUUAAAUCUCACUUGGGAUACUUAGUUUGAUGGACAGUUGGCAUACUGCCGGCCGACAGUUGGCCGACAGACUUUUAGGGG